rnacentral:rRNA from 1 species
CCCGUCACACCAUGGGAGUUGAUUGCACCAGAAGCAGGUAGCCUGACUGCAAGGAGGGCGCCUACCACGGUGUGGUCAAUGACUGGGGUG